rnacentral:rRNA from 1 species
UUCCAUAUAAAAAUUUUUAUGGUAGGACCUGCUCUAUGCAUUAAUUUGUAAAUGGCCGCAGUAUUUUGACUGUGCGAAGGUAGCAUAAUUAAUUGCCUUAUAAUUGAAGGCUUGUUUGAAUGGUUUGACGUGGUGAUUAUAAAUAUUUAUUUUUUUGUUGAAUUUAGUUUGGAGUGCACAGAAACCUCCUGAUUUAAUUAGACGGAAAGACCCCAGGAUCUUUUAUUUUUGUCUGGGGCAGAUAAAAAUUUUUUAUUUUUAUUGAGACCCUUUAUGGUUUAGUGGUUUAAGUUACCCUGGGGAUAACAGUGUAAUAGUUUACUAGAGAUCUUAUCGAAUAAACUGUUUGCUACCUCGAUGUUGACUUAGGUAAAUAAGUUAGGCGCAGUAGUUUAAUUUUUUGGUCUGUUCGACCAUAUAUACCUCC